rnacentral:rRNA from 1 species
UGGGGAAUUUUGGACAAUGGGCGAAAGCCUGAUCCAGCCAUGCCGCGUGAGUGAAGAAGGCCUUCGGGUUGUAAAGCUCUUUUAGUCGGAAAGAAAAGAUCAUAAUGAACAAUAUGAUUCAUGACGGUACCGACAGAAAAAGCACCGGCUAACUACGUGCCAGCAGCCGCGGUAAUACGUAGGGUGCGAGCGUUAAUCGGAAUUACUGGGCGUAAAGGGUGCGCAGGCGGUUUUGUAAGUCAGAUGUGAAAUCCCCGGGCUUAACCUGGGAAUUGCGUUUGAAACUGCAAGACUAGAGUGCAGCAGAGGGGAGUGGAAUUCCAUGUGUAGCAGUGAAAUGCGUAGAGAUGUGGAAGAACACCGAUGGCGAAGGCAGCUCCCUGGGUUGACACUGACGCUCAUGCACGAAAGCGUGGGGAGCAAACA